CUUGUGAAACAGGCUGCGGCAAACCAGAUGGUCAGAGAAGUGGGGGGCUGCCCAAAAUGUGUUGUUUUAAGGACGUUUGAGGACAGGGAGUCGCCCCUUCCCCUCAGUCCCAGGCAGUCUGAACUCUGACGCUGAGCUACGCCAGCGUACCAUCUCCUCUGCAAACAGAGCAUUUGCACAGUUUACUCAGCCAGAACGAGCUAACUGGAACGCUAAUGCCUCGGGGUGUCAGGAGGAGUGAACCGGAUAAGAAACAGUGCUGCUGGUGUCUGAAGCUGCACUGCACUGCCACUCAAACUGGGCCUGUGAAGAUAAAGAAUAACACCCCUGAGCUACAAGGGGAUGCUCACAGAGCCCAGAAUCACUGACAGUCUCCCGACAGACAGAAGCUCCAGCUUUUCACACUACUGCUUGGAAUUCAUCUUGAAGGGUCCUAUUCCCACCUGGGAGCACUCUUCUCUUGAUUUACUCCAGAACUGUGC